rnacentral:rRNA from 1 species
CCUACGGGAGGCAGCAGUGGGGAAUUUUGGACAAUGGGGGCAACCCUGAUCCAGCCAUGCCGCGUGAGUGAAGAAGGCCUUCGGGUUGUAAAGCUCUUUUGGUCGGGAAGAAAGUGCUCUGCCUAAUACGUGGGGUAUUUGACGGUACCGGCAGAAUAAGCACCGGCUAACUACGUGCCAGCAGCCGCGGUAAU